CACAAAAAAAAAAAAAAAAAAAGGUGCCAGAGUGGGCUUAUGUAGAAUUGCUUGUGUUUCUCAAGCAUACAUUGGAGUGGACAAAAGAAUGAAAAUCAUUACUGCUUAUUGGCAUGGUCUAAUUUUCAGGACAAUAUUUCUAUCUUCAAGCUAAAAAUGCUGUACUGUGAUUUUUUUUUUCUGCCUCAAAUGUACAGCAAUCUACAGCAGCAACAGCUCAUGAUAACUGUAGUUAACUGACUUUCAUUUAUCUGAAUGAAAAUUAUAACACCAA
rnacentral:misc_RNA from 1 species